GUUGGUUCUACCCGACGGCCGUGCGCUAACCAGCAAUGGGGGCAGCGGACCACGGUAGGAUCAGCGACUGGGGUGAAGUCGUAACAAGGUAGCCGUAGGUGAACCUGCAGAAGGAUCA
rnacentral:rRNA from 1 species